UACAGAGGGGGCAAGCGUUAUUCGGAAUUAUUGGGCGUAAAGGGCGCGUAGGCGGCCUGGCAAGUGGAUGGUGAAAUCCCUCGGCUUAACCGAGGAACUGCCAUCCAGACUGCUUGGCUUGAGACCGGGAGAGGUGAGUGGAAUUCCCAGUGUAGCGGUGAAAUGCGUAGAUAUUGGGAAGGAACACCAGUGGCGAAGGCGGCUCACUGGACCGGUACUGACGCUGAGGCGCGAAAGCGUGGGGAGCAAACGGG
rnacentral:rRNA from 1 species